UACGGAGGAUGCGAGCGUUAUCCGGAUUUAUUGGGUUUAAAGGGUGCGUAGGCGGGCUUUUAAGUCAGCGGUAAAAAUUCGGGGCUCAACCCCGUCCGGCCGUUGAAACUGGGGGUCUUGAGUGGGCGAGAAGAUGGCGGAAUGCGUGGUGUAGCGGUGAAAUGCAUAGAUAUCACGCAGAACCCCGAUUGCGAAGGCAGCCUUCCGGCGCCCUACUGACGCUGAGGCACGAAAGUGCGGGGAUCGAACAGG
rnacentral:rRNA from 1 species